rnacentral:rRNA from 1 species
UACGGAGGGUGCAAGCGUUAUCCGGAUUCACUGGGUUUAAAGGGUUCGUAGGUGGUGCGGCAAGUUGGGAGUGAAAUCUCUGGGCUUAACUCAGAGGCUGCUUUCAAAACUGCCGCGCUCGAGUGCGAGAGAGGUCAGUGGAAUUGCAGGUGUAGCGGUGAAAUGCGUAGAUAUCUGCAGGAACACCCGUGGCGAAGGCGGCUGACUGGAUCGCAACUGACACUGAGGAACGAAAGCUAGGGGAGCAAACAGG